UACGUAGGGUGCGAGCGUUGCCCGGAUUUAUUGGGCGUAAAGGGCGCGUAGGCGGCUCUGCACGUCCGUUGUGAAAUCGCCCGGCUCAACUGGGCGGGGUCAGCGGAUACGGCGGAGCUUGAGCAAGCUAGGGGGCAAUGGAAUUCCCGGUGUAGUGGUGGAAUGCGUAGAUAUCGGGAGGAACACCAGUGGCGAAGGCGGCUUCGCGUGGCCUU
rnacentral:rRNA from 1 species